rnacentral:rRNA from 1 species
UGAACGCUGGCGGCGUGCCUAAUACAUGCAAGUCGAGCGAACAGACGAGGAGCUUGCUCCUCUGACGUUAGCGGCGGACGGGUGAGUAACACGUGGAUAACCUACCUAUAAGACUGGGAUAACUUCGGGAAACCGGAGCUAAUACCGGAUAAUAUAUUGAACCGCAUGGUUCAAUAGUGAAAGACGGUUUUGCUGUCACUUAUAGAUGGAUCCGCGCCGCAUUAGCUAGUUGGUAAGGUAACGGCUUACCAAGGCAACGAUGCGUAGCCGACCUGAGAGGGUGAUCGGCCACACUGGAACUGAGACACGGUCCAGACUCCUACGGGAGGCAGCGGUAGGGAAUCUUCCGCAAUGGGCGAAAGCCUGACGGAGCAACGCCGCGUGAGUGAUGAAGGUCUUCGGAUCGUAAAACUCUGUUAUUAGGGAAGAACAAAUGUGUAAGUAACUAUGCACGUCUUGACGGUACCUAAUCAGAAAGCCACGGCUAACUACGUG